AUUGAACGCUGGCGGCAAGCCUAACACAUGCAAGUCGAACGAGUGGCGGACGGGUGAGUAAUGUCUGGGAAACUGCCUGGUGGAGGGGGAAAACUUAUGGAAACGGGAGCAUAUACCGCAUACCAUCGGGUGCGCCCAGAUGGGUUUAGCUAGUCGGUGGGGGAAAGGCUCACCUAGGCGACGCUCCCUAGCUGGUCUGAGAGGAUGACCAGCCACACUGCAACUGAGACACGGCCCAGACUCCUAGGGAAGGCAGCAGUGGAGAAUAUUGCACAAUGGGCGCAAGCCUGAUGCAGCCAUGCCGCGUGUAUGAAGAAGGCCUUCGGGUUGUAAAGUACUUUCAGCGGGGAGGCGUUACCCGCAGAAGAAGCACCGGCUAACUCCGUGCCAGCAGCCGCGGUAAUAC
rnacentral:rRNA from 1 species